rnacentral:misc_RNA from 1 species
GGUCUUGUUGUUCUAUCUGAAAGUUUUGGCCAUUCUGUAUUUAAGGACUCUUUCAAGCGUGUCUUUGAAGAUGGAGAACAGUCUCUUGGUCUCUGUUUCAAUGGAAUACUUGAGAUUAACUGUUCCAAGGACGUUAAAAUUCAGGGGAUCAUUGGGCCUUGCACAUCUUUGGAAAAGAAAGGACCAAACCUUGCUGAUACAGUUGUGGGGGAGGGAAAU